UUUCCCUUUGUGUCUGUGGUUGUUCUCUGGAGAGCAGAGACACAGAGCAGCAAUACUGUAAGAAGCUUUCAGCCAGGUAUGAUCAUAAAUCAUCAGAUCAUACCUAGAACUGCUUAUCUGGAACUCCCAAGGGUGUCCUUUUACCAUGCCCAUCACUGAGGUAUCUGAUCACUUUUCAACAGUGCAUAAAGAGAGAAAGAAACAGCCAACAUCCUUAGAGAGUUACAUUCCAACUGCAAUGGAAGUAACAUUUUACCAGAAAAGAAAUGAUUAAAUUUAAGUAUAUAUUUUCCAAAAUGGUUAGGAAAUACCAUGCAGGAAGCAUCCCAGGAGUGUUAAUGGGACAGACUGAAUGCUUUAGCAGGUUGUAUCCAUCUGUUAUCUCAGAAUGAUUCUCAGAAAUGACUAGUGGUAAAAAAAAGUGUCCACGUUUGUCUGAAAUCCUGGACCCCUCCACUUUCUCUGAAAGCUGGGGAAAAAAGAAUGACAAAAAUGAAGUCGGAAACAAAACUGACCCAUGCAUUCAUGAGGGAGUUUGGAAACUUCGAAUGACAUCACAAAGCACAGAAUGAUGCAAUUGAACAGAUCAUGAGCUCUGGUUCCCAGAAGCGACACCUUCUGGAGGAUUUACUUCCAGAAAUUGUAUGAAAAAGAGCCCUGAGCAGCAGCCACCAUUUCAAUGUAGGUUCUUAGUUGGAAAGGAUUUGGAAGCCUAACUUUAAACACCUAAGAGUUCAGAGCACCCUCAAUCUAGCCCAUCAAGUCUAUUUCAUUAUUUGUUCUUUCUGCCCACAAAGCAACAUAUAGCACGAGGACUACUAUAGCUGUGAGUUUCCCAUUAUGAUGAAAUGUUCCACUAUGGCUACUGUAUUUG